CAUACCGGGCCGGGUGUAGCUCAGUGGCAAGCGCUCACCUGGACUGCUCAAGGCCCGGAUGUGAUCCCUAGCAUGGAAAACAUGGGGGAGGGGAGGAGCAGAGAAGGGGGCUGGACGGAGUUUGUUUUGCUGAGUGGCGCUGAUUUAGGGACACACGGAGGUAGCGGGUGCCUGGGGACCCCUCCUUGGCUGCCCCAGUGGGGAUGCAGCCGCCAGCCGCCUGCCAGUUUCCUGUCUCACUGCGGUGGCCCUGACCCACCGGUCCUUCCGGGUGGGGGUGGCCUUGGGGUCAAGCUUCUCCCUGACUGUGGGACCUUGGGCAAAUGUGCAGGUCCUCCGGCCACCGCCUUCCUCAUGCGCAGGGUGAGAAUAGUUCGGGUCCCCCCCACAUGCCCUGUGAGCCCAGCUGGGGCUGCGUGCCGUGAGCGUGAGGCCGGCCCGGGCUACACAGCAAGACCCUGUCUGCAAAGAGAAAGUGCCUCGUGAAGGUCCUGGGCCUCACUGGCCAGCACAGCGCUCCCCCCGGAGCCUGAGGAAGGGGUGACCGUGGGGCCCUUUCACCCGCUCUUCCUGCUCGGAGAACUCCAGCCCACACUUUGCCUCCAACCCCCAUUGCCUCUCCCUGCUUUCAUCCAUUUUCUGAAAAUGCAGGCACGGUGAGGGGCAUCCCUGGCCCCUUCCCGGUGCAGCCGAGAACCCGGUGCAGGGUGGGUGCACGUGCUCUGCCAGCCCUGACCAGCUCCCGGGACGCCCCUCUGCCCUGGCAUUCCGGCCGCACCCCUCCUCACCUUCCUGACAGGACACAGUACGGAUGGAUCCAGCGCUCUGCAGGCAUCGUUAGUGAUAAGCGUUCUCAUGUGGUGGCAAAUCUCAGAUUUAAAAAGCAGUUUGCAACCAUUUUCUCCCCUGGGCCCCUGCGGGGAGGGGUCUGAGCUGGACCUGAGCCACUGCUGGGCGACAGUGAUGACAACAAGAGGGUCAGGGGUGCUCCCUGCCCCGGACCUGGUGGCAGGGGUGUGGGGCUGGCGGUGGACACUGCCCUGGAGCUCAAGGCUCUGGGGUGGAGCCCCAGGCCUCACACACGCCAGACAAUGGCUCUGACUGAGGGACAUCCCCGGCACCAGCUGGACUGAUUUUGAAUUGUGAGUCAGCCUUGCUCCUGGCCAGUGCAAUCAGGAGGAAAAGAACUGGGUUAUGAACACGCGGCUGCUCGCCGGCUGGCUGUCUAGCAGCAGGCACACAAAUCAGGAUUAUGGAUGUCACUGUCUCUGCACAAAGAAAAAUGGACGGAGAGGCCCGGUCACGGCCCGAGCCCAGGGCUGGAGCAGGCCACCUCUGCAGAGCGCAGGUGGCCCAGGGUCAGACGACCUGGAGGAACCUCUGGAGUGGCUUUGGGGACAGCGGGGUCUGAUUUACCCACGAUGCUAUGACAACCGUAUCACUCUGGGUGUGUUUCUUUUUUUAAUUGCAAGUAGGAAAUAAAACCAAAGCAAAUGAAACCA